GGGCCGUUAGCUCAGUUGGCUAGAGCGUCUGUUUUGCACACAGGAGGUCAAGGGUUCGAAUCCCUUACGGUCCA
rnacentral:tRNA from 1 species